rnacentral:ribozyme from 1 species
AGCGCAACUGAGUCGUCCGAUGGAAAGAACGCAAAGGUGCAGCAGUUGACUCAGGCGGGCUCCAACAAGGAAGCGCCGGUCGGCGGGAAGCA